rnacentral:tRNA from 1 species
GCGGGUAUAGCUCAGUGGUUGAGUGUGUGCUUCACAUGUACAAGGUUCCAGGUUUGAUCCCUGGUACCUCCU